CAGUAGCCACGGUAAUACGAAGGGUGCAAGCGUUAAUCGGAAUUACUGGGCGUAAAGCGUGCGUAGGCGGUUUGUUAAGUCUGCUGUGAAAUCCCCGGGCUCAACCUGGGAAUGGCAGUGGAUACUGGCAAGCUAGAGUGUGUCAGAGGAUGGUGGAAUUCCCGGUGUAGCGGUGAAAUGCGUAGAGAUCGGGAGGAACAUCUGUGGCGAAGGCGGCCAUCUGGGACAACACUGACGCUGAGGCACGAAAGCGUGGGGAGCAAACAGGAUUAGAUACCCCAGUAGUCCCUGUCUCUUAUAC
rnacentral:rRNA from 1 species